rnacentral:rRNA from 1 species
UGGGGGAUAUUGCACAAUGGGCGAAAGCCUGAUGCAGCGACGCCGCGUGGGGGAUGAAGGCUUUCGGGUUGUAAACCUCUUUCGCUAUCGAACAAGGUCCGCUUAGGGUGGGUUGAGGGUAGGUGGAGAAGAAGCGCCGGCUAACUACGUGCCAGCAGCCGCGGUAAUACGUAGGGCGCGAGCGUUGUCCGGAAUUAUUGGGCGUAAAGGGCUUGUAGGCGGCUUGUUGCGCCUGCUGUGAAAACGCGGGGCUUAACUUCGCGCGUGCAGUGGGUACGGGCAGGAUUGAGUGUGGUAGGGGUGACUGGAAUUCCAGGUGUAGCGGUGGAAUGCGCAGAUAUCUGGAGGAACACCGAUGGCGAAGGCAGGUCACUGGGCCAUUACUGACGCUGAGGAGCGAAAGCAUGGGUAGCGAACAGG